rnacentral:rRNA from 1 species
GGGGGGGGGGGGGGGGGGGGGGGGGGGGGGGGGGGCGGGCGGGGGGGCGGGGGGCGGGCGCCUCUGGGGUGGGCGGCGGGCGGGUGAGUAACGCGUGGGUAACCUACCUAUCCGACUGGGAUAGCUUCGGGGAACCGGGGCUACUACCGGCUCCUCUAUUGCACCGCAUGGUUCAAUAGUGAAAGACGGUUUUGCUGUCACUUAUCUAUGGAUCCGCGCCGCAUUAGCUAGUUGGUAAGGGAACGGCUUAACAAGGCGACGAUGCGUAGCCGACCUGAGAGGGUGAUCGGCCACACUGGAACUGAGACACGGUCCAGACUCCUACGGGAGGCAGCAGUAGGGAAUCUUCCGCAAUGGGCGAAAGCCUGACGGAGCAACGCCGCGUGAGUGAUGAAGGUCUUCGGAUCGUAAAACUCUGUUAUUAGGGAAGAACAAAUGUGUAAGUAACUAUGCACGUCUUGACGGUACCUAAUCAGAAAGCCACGGCUAACUACGUG